UGCAAGGCCUUUCCGCAGCACUAAGUUUACAUUCAUUCCCUUAUGGAAAAGUUACAACUCCUUUAGCAUCUCUUCCUAUCUUUUAAAUUUCUCAACAUCGAUCUACCAAAGAAUAUGAGCUGUUCUUCGAUGAUGUGAAAAAGAGUAAUCAUCUUCUUCUUCUUAUUUUUCCAUGGUUUACAGAAAACCUCGGGCUUGUUGUUGUGUGUAACAACAGGCAGCCCCAGGUUACAGCGACUGCCACCACCAUCCUCAAUUUGUUUUCCCUGGAUUGAUCAGAUAUCAACAAGUGCAAUGGUUUUAUUAGGUCUUCCUCCCAAAUAGUAGCCAUUUUCUCAUCACUUUAUUUUCUCAUCAUCAAACUCAAAAAGUUCUUAUUAAAAUCAUAAGUUCUAACCUCUUGCUUGUCAUAAAAAAGUAUGAUAUUAAGCCCAACCGUAUUGAUCAGUUCUAAGUCUAAACAAAACCAGAAAAAUGACCUUAGGACCCAUCUUCAUAAGUAAACAUUUUUCCCCUUAAUUUCUGAUUUGAUAUUCCCUGCUCGGGGUGUUUUUUUAGUUCAUGUUUUUCAUUUCUGAUGAGAUGUUACAUAUUACGUUUUCGUUAACACGUUUAAUGUUUUCACUUUUAUAUACAUUAUUGAUAUUUAUACAUGAUUUGUUUUUCUAAUUUCAAUUUUUUAACUUAAAAGUACAUUAACGUCAAUUUGUUCUUAAAUCCCCACACACAACGUUGAAAAUAUUUUCGACAAAUUGAGGGAUCAUAUUUCAUUACUUGUAAAUCUUUUUUUUAUUUUUUUUGUUUAAAGCAUUACAUAAAAAGUUUGGCUUGAAUAUUUCUAUGACAAUCUAGGUCUUACUAAUGGCUUGAAACAAAAAUGCAAAAUCCCUUGGGAAUUGUUCAAAAUGUUCACCAUUUACUAUCUUCUUGCUCGAAAGUUGAAUUUUGUCACAUUGUUAAGAAAAGUAAUUGUGUCGCCGAUUGGAUUGUUAAACACACCAAAAAUCUGGAUGAUUUUCCUCCAAAAGAUGGAUUUUCAUUCGGACUUUAAAAAAUUCGAAACCAUGCAUAUCAUUAAUGAAAUUUGUUAAAUCGAUUUAAAAACCUAGUUAUUUUUGUUGAAACAAGUAUGAGUCACCAAAAUGCAGGCGGUCGGCCAUUAGGCUACGUCAUUCAGGGUUUUGGGUUUAGCUGGACAGCAUAUUCCUUGGCCUCUAUAAGAAAAACUAAAGACAAGACGCUGUUCACUGAUUAGGUUGGGAGGUUGGUAGAGUCGCCUAUCUAUCGCUCGAUUUUUGGAUAUUCCUACCAACAUUGAUCGAUUGGCUGGCGAUCGGUGCGCAUGCGCAAUCGCUCGAGAGUUUGCACAUUCGUGCGAGAAUCGCUCUAUUCACAGGCAAUCUUUCGAUUUUGGUCUACUGACUGGCGAUAGGUGAACGCAGUUUUGGUCCACAUACGCAAUCGCUCGAUUUUGGAAUAUUGGUUCAAGCAUCGGACGAUCGGGCCUUGUAAAACGCGCAAUCGCUCGAGAGUUUGCAUAUUCGUGCGAGAAUUGGUCUAUUCACAGGUAAUCUUUCGAUUUGGUCUACUGACUGGCGAUAGGUGAACGCGAUUUUGGUCCACAAACGCAAUCGCUCGAUUUUCAGGAUAUUCGUUCGAGCAUUAAGCUAUUCACUGGUGAAGACAUUGUAUGUUUUACGAAGGGUUAAUUCACUGUAUGUGACAAAUGUUUUCAUGUUAAUGUUUGAAUUUUUAUUUUACUCCUUAUUUUUUUAAAUAAAUAAUAUUUCAUUAAAAUGGCUGGACUAUAAAAAUUGGGAUCGGGAAAAAUUGUUAAGUACAAAGACCCCAAUCUCAAUUUUCUUAUAUAUUUUAUUUUUAAUUACA
rnacentral:lncRNA from 1 species